rnacentral:sRNA from 1 species
UUGCUUUGUUAGAUUCAGGAUCAUUGAU